GUAAUUUUAGAGGCUAAAUCCUCAAAAUCCGUUUCCUGUUGAAGGAGUAAGGGUUCAAGUCCCUUUCUAGGCACCA
rnacentral:tRNA from 1 species